rnacentral:lncRNA from 1 species
UCUUCUCUACAAGGCCAUUAAUGACCUGCAAGAAGAGAGAGAAACCAACGGCUAGAGAAGUACGAGGUACGUACUAGCCUCAUUAAUGGCGAAGGCCAUCUCUCCGGCUGGAAAGGGACACGUAUGUUACGACUGUCAGGACAUCAGCGGGCACUUAGGAUACCGUUGGAUCAUCCAGAAGAACCUAACUGGUUGAUACGCUUUCCGUGUAUAUAAGCUAUCCUCAUGGUCAUCCAAGGUAUGCAUUCAAUAACUCAAGCAUUUACUCGUCAUAACGCAUUAAUUCCAAACAUUCUCUAAGCCACAUUGAAUACUUGGAAACCAGGAUUCACACCAUAUAUUCCGACGACAUCAGCACGUCGGAAUAAUCUUAUAUCUCCGGCAAGUUUACUUAUUCUCACGCCGGAGCUUGGUCACGGAUCCCCCCUCCAGGGUCCUCCGUGACGAGGCUAACGGUGCUCUGUUUUGCAGGUUGAAAGAAAAGCCCAUCGGAGCGUUGACGAGUCUCAUUAAUCUCUAACCGGAGCUCGGGGAUUCGACAGUAUGUAUGAUCUUUUAGUUGAAUCUUUCACAAUCUAGGGUUUCAUCAGAGAUCUUGCAUCCAUCGACUACAACGAUCUUACAGCGGCGACUGAUAUCCAAAGAAUAGCAUAAUCUUCAAUUGAGUUUUCCUGUUUCUAUCUUUCGCCAAUCCUCACACAGUUCUUCAAUCGGUUUUGGAUUUAUAUGAUACCAUUCAAAGGUUUUAGUUUUCUAAUCCAAUUCAGACGUUUAUGCGAUGAUUUCAAUUUAUGAUUUGCCCUUGAUUCGAAUCUCGCUUUGAAAGAUUAUUUGGUUGUUCUGGAAUCGAAACAAGUUGCAAUGACAGGACGAUGGCUGCUUUGCAGGUCAGAAGUGAUGGUGAAUUUUUAGCCAAGUGGUAUCUUCUCAAGUAAAAGGUUUAUAUAUAAAUCUUUAAUUUGUCAAUAGAUGGUAUUUUAUAUCCAUUUUAUGUAAAUUGUGACUCGUUCAAUGAUAUACUCCUUUGCAGCAUGUUCACAAUUGUUUUAUGAUGUAAAAUAUGAUUACUCAAUAUUAUAUGCACAUGUGCAUUGU